rnacentral:tRNA from 1 species
GCAGGCGUCAUCUAGCCUGGUUAGGAUACAGGCCUUCCAAGCCUGAUGCGGGGGUUCGAAUCCCCCCGCCUGCA